rnacentral:tRNA from 1 species
GCCUUCGUAGCUCAAUGGAUAGAGCAAAUCCGUCCUAAGGAUGAGAUGUAGGUUCGAUUCCUGCCGAGGGCACCA